CGCCGAGGUCGCAUAACCUGGUAGUGCGUCAGUCUUGAAAACUGAUCCCUCACGGGAUUAUGGGUUCAAAUCCCAUCCUCGGCGUC
rnacentral:tRNA from 1 species